rnacentral:rRNA from 1 species
AAACCAACAGGGAUUGCCCCAGUAACGGCGAGUGAAGCGGCAAGAGCUCAAAUUUGAAAUCUGGCCUCCUCCGGGGGUCCGAGUUGUAAUUUGCAGAGGAUGCUUCGGGUGCGGCCCCCGUCUAAGUUCCUUGGAACAGGACGUCAGAGAGGGUGAGAAUCCCGUCUUGGGCGGGCGGCCCGCGCCCGUGUGAAGCUCCUUCGACGAGUCGAGUUGUUUGGGAAUGCAGCUCUAAGCGGGUGGUAAAUUUCAUCUAAAGCUAAAUACUGGCCGGAGACCGAUAGCGCACAAGUAGAGUGAUCGAAAGGUUAAAAGCACCUUGAAAAGGGAGUUAAACAGCACGUGAAAUUGUUGAAAGGGAAGCGCUUGCGGCCAGACUCGGGGGCGGGGUUCAGCGGGCGCUCGUCGCCCGUGCACUCCCCGCGCCCCGGGCCAGCAUCAGUUUCGACGGCCGGUCAAAGGCCCCCGGAAUGUGUCGUCUCUAGGGACGUCUUAUAGCCGGGGGUGCAAUGCGGCCCGUCGGGACUGAGGAACGCGCUCCGGCUCGGAUGCUGGCGUAAUGGCCGUAAGCGGC